rnacentral:rRNA from 1 species
GACAGAGGGGGCAAGCGUUGCUCGGAAUUACUGGGCGUAAAGGGCGCGUAGGCGGAAUGGCAAGUCGGUCGUGAAAUCCUUCGGCUCAACCGAAGAACGUCGAUCGAAACUGCCGUUCUUGAGGAUUGCAGAGGAGACUGGAAUUCCCGGUGUAGCGGUGAAAUGUGUAGAGAUCGGGAGGAACACCGGUGGCGAAGGCGGCCUACUGGGCCAGCACUGACGCUGAGCCGCGAAAGCCAGGGGAGCGAACGGG